UACGGGGGUAGCAAGCGUUUUUCGGAAUCACUGGGCGUAAAGGGCGCGUAGGUGGUUAGAUGGGUUAGGCAUGAAAGCCCUCGGCUCAACCGAGGAACGGUGUCUAAAACUAUUUAACUUGAGUACAGAAGAGGAGAGUGGAAUUCCCAGUGUAGCGGUGAGAUGCGUAGAUAUUGGGAGGAACACCGGUGGCGAAAGCGGCUCUCUGGUCUGAUACUGACACUGAAGCGCGAAAGCUAGGGGAGCAAACAGG
rnacentral:rRNA from 1 species